AACGACUCUCGACAACGGAUAUCCCGGCUCUCGCAUCGAUGAAGAACGUAGCGAAAUGCGAUACUUGGUGUGAAUUGCAGAAUCCCGUGAACCAUCGAGUCUUUGAACGCAAGUUGCGCCCGAAGCCACUAGGCCAAGGGCACGUCUGCCUGGGUGUCACGC
rnacentral:rRNA from 1 species